GGGCCCGCACAAGCGGUGGAGCAUGUGGUUUAAUUCGAUGAUACGCGAGGAACCUUACCAGGGCUUAAAUGUAAGUUGCAUAGACCAGAGAUGGUCUUUUCUUCGGACUACUUACAAGGUGCUGCAUGGUUGUCGUCAGCUCGUGCCGUGAGGUGUCAGGUUAAGUCCUAUAACGAGCGCAACCCCUGUCGUUAGUUGCCAUCAAGUAAAGUUCGGGUACUCUAGCGAGACUGCCGGUGCAAACCGUGAGGAAGGUGGGGAUGACGUCAAAUCAUCACGGCCCUUACGUCCUGGCUACACACGUGCUACAAUGGCAGUGACAAUGGGUUAACCCCCAAAAACUG
rnacentral:rRNA from 1 species